ACAAACUAUUUACAAAAAUACCCUUACUAAUUUAUUAUCUACAAGAAUACUUAUAUUCUCUUAACAAUAACAUACAAUUCUAUCCAAAGCACACUUAAACCAAUAUGAAAAUGACAGCAAUUUAUGGGGUAGGGCUGUAAAUGGUCAUGCUCUAGAUUCAGAUAUAUAUCCUAUUAUGCACACACAUACAUCUAAGCGGCACAUAGAGCUUAUACUUGUAUUAAAAUGCAUAUAUGCAGUUUAUUUAGUUAAAAAGUAACUUUAAACAUAAACAAAAAAAUUUGUUCUUACAACUUUACCAUUUACAAAAAGCAUAAAGAAGAGCUUAAAUUGAGCAAUAACAAUCAGACAUGGUCACGGAAAUGGCUGGUAAAAUCCAAAUCCCAACCAUGAGAAGCGUAGGUGGGGGAGAAAGCACCGAGUCAGUGAAGGGUCAGAAAUAACAAGAGGAAGAGAUAGUGGACAAGCAUGGGACACAGACAGAAACAGGUUGGGGUUUGUUACUGCAGCCAUGAGAGAGAGAGAGAGAGAGAGAGAGAGAGAGAGAGAGAGAGAGGGAGGGAGGGAGUUCGUGUUUGCUGUCAGUUGUUAAGAAAAAGAAAAGGGAUAGAGAAAGGGCAGCAAGCAGCAAGGGCAUAUCUGGUAAAGCUGUCUGUAAGAGGUCUCCAAUUUCCCAAAAAAAGGUGAUUUGAGCACUAAGGGAUUGGCAAUUUAGUGUGGAGGGGAAUGAUACGGCACCAUCAACAUGCACCUAAGGUUUGUUAGAACCUAAAAUUGAGGUACAAAUCAAUAACGUGCCAAAAACCAUGGGUCUCUGGACAUUCAUUCAGCUGUUCAUCUUCUGCUUAAGUAUAUUUUUCAUAGAAUCUCACUGCCAAAGGGUAUCAGUUAGCACCUCAGAGCUAUGCAACAUGGAAGCAGUAAGAGGGAAAAGUGGUCCACAUGGAAGGAAUAAGCAAAAAAUUAGUACCAAGCACUGAAAGGGAUAGAGAGCCAUGACAUAAGAAUAUACCUGCAAAUUCCUCUUGACUGUCUCUGAAGCAAGCUCCUUCAUCAGCAUAUGGGGAACUCCAAUCAACAUCUAACACGUUACAAGAUUAUAUUUAAGCAUUCUGGAGUUGGAUAUACACAUUUGACAUGUUACCACCUUUUUCACCAAGUUCUGGACAAAGAACCGUUGGAAGGCUAUUAGAGCGGUCAGCCAAGGGAACUUUUUCACAUUCAAGUAAUAUAGCAUCCUUGCUUCCCAAAUUAUAGUCAUUCACCAGCAUGCCAAUAUCAGUCUCCUCUGUAAAAGUAGCUGUUUCCAAAUCUUUAGUUCUUGUUGGAUCUUUAUCAGCCCCAUCUUGACAUCUCAAGCUUACCUCUCUGUGGUCAGAAGUUCCUUCUACUGCAUUUAUACCUCUAUCA